CAGUCGCCGCGGGAAUACGUAGGUGGCAAGCGUUGUCCGGAAUUAUUGGGCGUAAAGCGCGCGCAGGCGGAUAGGUCAGUCUGUCUUAAAAGUUCGGGGCUUAACCCCGUGAUGAGAUGGAAACUGCCAAUCUAGAGUAUCGGAGAGGGAAGUGGAAUUCCUAGUGUAGCGGUGAAAUGCGUAGAUAUUAGGAAGAACACCAGUGGCGAAGGCGACUUUCUGGACGAAAACUGACGCUGAGGCGCGAAAGCCAGGGGAGCGAACGGGAUUAGAUACCCGUGUAGUCCCUGUCUCUUAUACA
rnacentral:rRNA from 1 species